rnacentral:lncRNA from 1 species
UGACUGAAGCCCGUCAACAUGGCGGCGAGUGUCCGCGGCCGCUCGCUGAAGCACCUCAGGAUACGAGGGCGGAAUGACAGCGGCGAGGAGAACGUCCCGCUGGAUCUCACCCGAGAUGAAUAAGUUCUACUGUGAUCACUAAAGUCUCAGCUUUAUCAUUUUCCGAUUAUGUUACUUUCUAUGAACCAUAAACAAGGUAAGGGAAAGCUUUUAUAACUCCAUUAGAUCCUUUUAAGCCAGUCUUUAUAAAUAAGUGAGUGUGUGUGUGUGUGUGUGUGUGUGUGUGUGUGUGUGUGUGUGUGUAAAAAUGUGUAAGACAGCACUUUUAGUUUGAGUUUUAAUUAACUCAUAUUACAAACUGGUAAAGAUUUUUAAAAAUGGCAGUAUUCAGUGUUGGAGGGAAUGUGUACUUAUAGGUAUAUUAGUAAUGUUGGUUGAGGUGUAAAACAGUGUGACCAUUUUGGAAAGCAUUCUGCCAUUAUGCAAAUAAAUCAUCUAAAUUGUCCUUUAAACCAGAUGAUUCAUUACUUGGCAUAUAUCCCAAGGAAGCCAUCAGUAAGAAGAAAGUCCCUAAAUGCAUAUAUUGGCUUAUUACUGUAUUGUAAGAAAUGAUAUAUGUGGUGAAUAGAGAAGCUUGGGAAGAGUUACAUGGACUAAUGCAGAGUAAGUAAACAAAGUCAAUAAAAUAAUAUGCAAAAUAACUAUUACAGUGUACAUGGAAAAGAAUCACAUACCAAAAAGUCAAGGUGAAUAUAACAGUUUUAAAGAUCAAGUGUGAUUUGAAUGAAUAAAUAUAAAAACCAUACCUUCCCCCAUCCCUUUGUGUGGAGGUAAGAGGUCA